rnacentral:tRNA from 1 species
GCCGGCAUGGCGAAAUGGUAGACGCAACGGACUUAAAAUCCGUUGGUGGGUGACCACCGUGUGGGUUCGAGUCCCACUGCCGGUA